AUUGAACGCUGGCGGCAGGCCUAACACAUGCAAGUCGAACGAGUGGCGGACGGGUGAGUAAUGUCUGGGAAACUGCCUGAUGGAGGGGGAUAACUACUGGAAACGGUAGCUAAUCCCGCAUACCAUCGGAUGUGCCCAGAUGGGAUUAGCUAGUAGGUGGGGUAAAGGGUCACCUAGGCGACGAUCCCUAGCUGGUCUGAGAGGAUGACCAGCCACACUGGAACUGAGAGACGGGCCAGACUCCUACGGGAGGCAGGAGGGGGGAAUAUUGCACAAUUGGCGCAAGCCUGAUGCAGCCAUGCCGCGUGUAUGAAGAAGGCCUUCGGGUUGUAAAGUACUUUCAGCGGGGAGGCGUUACCCGCAGAAGAAGCACCGGCUAACUCCGGGCCAGCAGCCGCGGUAAUUC
rnacentral:rRNA from 1 species